CUCUUAUUUAGAGUGGUGGAGGGACUGGCCCGAUGAAACCCGGCAACCGUUAAACAAUGUUUGUUUAAAAUGGUGCCAAUUCCUGCAAAGCAAAAAGCUUUGAUAGAUGAGAG
rnacentral:ncRNA from 2 species